GAUGAACGCUGGCGGCGUGCCUAAUACAUGCAAGUAGAACGCUGAAGGAGGAGCUUGCUCUUCUGGAUGAGUUGCGAACGGGUGAGUAACGCGUAGGUAACCUGCCUGGUAGCGGGGGAUAACUAUUGGAAACGAUAGCUAAUACCGCAUGACAACAGUUAUUGCAUGAUAACUGUUUAAAAGGGGCAACUGCUCCACUACCAGAUGGACCUGCGUUGUAUUAGCUAGUUGGUGAGGUAACGGCUCACCAAGGCGACGAUACAUAGCCGACCUGAGAGGGUGAUCGGCCAAACUGGGACUGAGACAAGGCCCAGACUACUACGGGAGGCAGCAGUAGGGAAUCUUCGGCAAUGGACGGAAGUCUGACCGAGCAACGCCGCGUGAGUGAAGAAGGUUUUCGGAUCGUAAAGCUCUGUUGUAAGAGAAGAACGAGUGUGAGAGUGGAAAGUUCACACUGUGACGGUAUCUUACCAGAAAGGGACGGCUAACUACGUG
rnacentral:rRNA from 1 species